CUAUAAUUGCUGUUAAGGGUUCGAAUUUCUCACGUCAGAGGUGUUAAUUCGUGUGACAUCACACUUAAUUGAACGUGGGUUGAACGUAAGAUUAACGAAGCCGUUAAGUUCAGACACUGGCCCACAACAGACUUACCUCUUCCACUUUUAUGAGCAAAAACUUUUCUGCAAGAGUUGCCAGACCCACGUGAAGUUUAUGAAACUGUAGGACAAUGUAAACUGGGGAAGACUUUCAGCUUCCAAUAUCUACAUUUGUGGCAACCAAGAUAACACAGUCUGAGAUAUACCGGAAUGGGCUGUUCUGGAGAGAUUGCAGAUGCCAAGAAGCUGCACCAAGAAGGGAGAACAGAUGUAAUGAGAUGUUGCAGUGUAGAGUCUACAGUGAAACGUUAUACCAGUGGUAUCACCAAAUUC